CCCUAUUAUUUAAGAGCUAUAUAUUGUUAGUAAAUAAUUAUUACGAAAGCAAAAAAUUAUGGCGGUAUUUUAAGCUUUUCAGAGGAAUUUGCUCUUUAAUGGAUAAAACACCUAAAUCUUACUUGAAUUUGUUAAGUCAAUUUGUAUACCACUAUAAAAUUAAUUAUUUGCUUUAAUUAAUAAAGUUUAUAAUUUUUAAAACAAAUUAAGUCAAGGUGCAGUAAAAAUUUAAGAAUGAAGUGAAUUACAUUUCUUCUAAGAGAUUAAUGCAAUUAAAAAUAGAAUUAGGAUUUGAAAGUAAAAUUAAAAUAUAAUGUUAAUUUGAAUAAAGCUCUAAAAUAUGUACAUAUCGCCCGUCACUCUUUAUUAA
rnacentral:rRNA from 1 species